rnacentral:rRNA from 1 species
GACAGAGGGUGCAAACGUUGUUCGGAAUUACUGGGCGUAAAGCGCGUGUAGGCGGUUGCCCAAGUUGGAUGUGAAAGCCUUGAGCUUAACUCAAGAAAUGCAUUCAGGACUGGAUGACUAGAGGACCGGAGAGGAUAGUGGAAUUCCCAGUGUAGUGGUGAAAUACGUAGAGAUUGGGAAGAACACCAGUGGCGAAGGCGGUUAUCUGGACGGUUUCUGACGCUAAGACGCGAAAGCGUGGGGAGCAAACAGG